GGGGCUGUUCUGGAUUUGACAAAAUAAAGAAAAUUUUUUGCGCAUGUCGAGGAAUUGGUUUGCCUCGUUAAAAAACCAUAUAAAUUAUAUUCGCAAAUACAAAUAAUAGUUACGCUUUAGCAGCUUAAAAACUGUAAUUAAGCCCUUUUUUUUCUUUUAGUUUUUUUCUCUCUAUUAUUUGUACAAAAAAGAAAAUCAUUAAAAGGUCAUAUAAAACAAAAAAAUGAGAUAUUUAGUUGUCUUAAACUAAAUAUAAAAAUAAUUAAAUAAGAUAUAUUACUAAAAUUGGGUUUGCUAAAGUUUAGAUAAUGAAAAAAUGAGCAAAAUAUGCAUGUAGAACAAAAAAAAAGAAAUAUUUUGGACGCGGGUUCGAAUCCCGCCAGCUCCA
rnacentral:tmRNA from 1 species